UUUAGGGCGCAAACUGCAGCCUCUGCUGUUUUGCUUACACUUGGAGUAAGGGCUCUUUGAAAUUUCUUUAUAUUUGUGAUAAUGAUGCGGGCUCUUUUUUGGUUCCAUAUGAACUUUAAAGUAGUUUUUUCCAAUUCUGUGAAGAAAGUCAUUGGUAGCUUGAUGGGGAUGGCAUUGAAUCUGUAAAUUACCUUGGGCAGUAUGGCCAUUUUCACGAUAUUGAUUCUUCCUACCCAUGAGCAUGGAAUGUUCUUCCGUUUGUUUGUAUCCUCUUUUAUUUCCUUGAGCAGUGGUUUGUAGUUCUCCUUGAAGAGGUCCUUCACAUCCCUUGUAAGUUGGAUUCCUAGGUAUUUUAUUCUCUUUGAAGCAAUUGUGAAUGGGAGUUCACUCAUGAUUUGGCUCUCUGUUUGUCUGUUAUUGGUGUAUAAGAAUGCUUGUGAUUUUUGUACAUUGAUUUUGUAUCCUGAGAUUUUGCUGAAGUUGCUUAUCAGCUUAAGGAGAUUUUGGGCUG
rnacentral:lncRNA from 10 species